AGAUGAUUCGUCCUUCCACUGGUACUUGCUAAGGACGAAAUAAAUUUGGACCUGCAGUAAGGCUGCAAGCUGUGCUGCCAAAGCCCAGGGGGUGACUGGUCUAAGAUCACCCAGAGUGUGGCCAGGACUCAGCCUUUGCCUGUGGGGCCCUCCAGCCCGCCUCACUAUGGAGCAUCCUCAGUGCAUACCUGGGACACAGAAGCCAAGGCCCGCACCAGCCUUCACCCACCGAGCCAAGCAGCUGGACUGUCAGACUCGGGGAUGGGCAUAAAAGCAGAGGAUCCGGUGAGAAGUCUGCAUCCUGGAAGAGGGUGCUCCCCUGACCAUGCUAGCACCCUGACCUUGGAUGUCCAGCCUCCAAAACGGCAAUGGCGAGCCACGGGGCAUCUAAAGAGGAAAGGGCUGUGGUCAGAGCAGCCCCUGAGGAGGAUGGAGUGGGCGGCCAAGUUUCAGAAGAAUGGAGGAUAGAAGAAUCCAGGUACUUCCCUGGAUGAAACUAAUAGCCCAAGGACAGACCAGAAAGAAAUCUCACCUGAACUUCCCUUAGGUGACUACCUGGAGCUUCAGGGACAUCAGCUGCCACGACCCCACCCCCACUGCUCCGGGGAGGUCUCCAAUCAGGGAGGCACUGACCUUGGGCACCAGGAUAUUCCCAACGAAAUUGUGUCAACAAGCCACAACUCAUCAGAACCUUCAUCCUAACCCUACAAAAGCCCUAAUCCCUGCUCUUGUUAAAUUGGAAUCUAAACCUUUACCUCUGGUUAUUCAGUGAGUUACUCAUUAGUCCUUGUGCCCACGUUUAGUAUGCGUACAAACCUCACCUUUUCUUUUGUUAAUCUGUCUAUUGUUAGUUAACUCACAUGCCUCCACCCGCACCCCUCAAACCUAAGCUGGUAGAGGAAAAGUUUUUCCUCCCAACACUC